UAAAACAUCAAACAAAAAGUUGAGUCACAGAUAAAUGAGAGACACGUUAG
rnacentral:misc_RNA from 1 species